AAGAGAAGGGUAACCUAUGGAACUACUUUACAAGGUGCUGGUUAAAUGUCGUAUUUGAGGAUUUUGUGUAAGAAGCUGAAUUACGGAUUCCUGAUUCCCAGCACUGGCAUGUGAUUGAAUAGGAGGAGAGGUUUGUUCAGGCUGCUGU